CCGCAUUUAUUUGACGAAGGCUCCAAAAGGAAGCCACGGCUAACUCUGUGCCAGCAGCCGCGGUAAUACAGAGGUGGCAAGCGUUGUUCGGAAUUAUUGGGCGUAAAGAGCACGUAGGUGGGUUUGUAAGUCAGAUGUGAAAGCCUUCUGUUCAACGGAAGAAUUGCAUCUGAAACUGCGAGUCUUGAGUGUAGGAGGGGAGAAUGGAACUUCUGGUGGAGCGGUGAAAUGCGUAGAUAUCAGAAGGAACGCCGGCGGCGAAAGCGAUUCUCUGGCCUAUUACUGACACUCAGUGUGCGAAAGCUAGGGGAGCAAACGGGAUUAGAUACCCCGGUAGUCCUAGCUGUAAACGAUGGGCACUAAGUAGAGGGAAUUACCGAUGUUCUCUCUGCCGUAGCUAACGCAUUAAGUGCCCCGCCUGGGGAGUACGGCCGCAAGGCUAAAACUCAAAAGAAUUGACGGGGGCUCGCACAAGCGGUGGAGCAUGUGGCUUAAUUCGAUGCAACGCGAAGAACCUUACCGGGGCUUGACAUGUUAGAAGUAGGAACCCGAAAGGGUAACGAACGGUAUCCAGUCCGUAACUUUCACAGGUGUUGCAUGGCUGUCGUCAGCUCGUGUCGUGAGACGUUGGGUUAAGUCCCCUAACGAGCGAAACCCUUGUUUUUAGUUACCAGCGGGUUAUGCCGGGUACUCUAGAAAGACYGCCGUCGUCAAGACGGAGGAAGGUGGGGAUGACGUCAAGUCAUCAUGGCCCUUAUGCCCCGGGCUGCACACGUGCUACAAUGGUCGGUACAAACGGAAGCGAAAUCGAGAGGUGGAGCGAAUCCUAAAAAGCCGAUCUCAGUUCGGAUUGGAGGCUGAAAUUCGCCUCCA
rnacentral:rRNA from 1 species